rnacentral:rRNA from 1 species
GAAUCUCAGCAAUAGAUAUCUUGGCUCUCACAUUGAUGAAGAAUAUAGUAAAAUGCGAUACUUGGUGUGAAUUGCAUAAUCCCGUGAACCAUUGAGUCUUUGAACGCAAGUUAUGCUCAAAUCCAUUAGGACGAGGGAACAUCUUCUUGGGCUUCA